rnacentral:piRNA from 1 species
AAUGUGCUUUGGCCUCUAACUGUAGGA